AACAGCCCCAGUGUCGGGGCAGCUCUGGAAACCUGGAUUCAGCUCCGGCAGGAACUCCGUCUGCAGGGCCUGGAGGCUCCGGGGCGGGGCCGCUGAUCUGCUCAGCUGGGGCAGGAGCAUCCUUGCUGUCCUGGGCCCUCCCGGCCUCUGCCUGUCCCGGGGGAGGCCGGAUCCUGGGCUGUGUCCCGGCGCCCUGUGCUCCGGAGCCUGCGCUGGUGGAUUCGCGCUCCCGGGCCGCGCAGCCCCCUCCGCGGAGCUGCCGCCCAAGCCCCUCCGAGCUGCUCCUGGAACCGCGCAGGCCCCUCUGCAGGGAGCCUCUUCCUCUGCCCGAGCCCCUCCGAGCUGCUCCCGGGCCGCGCAGCCCCCUCCGCGGAGCUGCCGCCCAAGCCCCUCCGAGCUGCUCCCGGGGCCGCGCAGCCCCCUCCGCGGAGCUGCCGCCCGAGCCCCUCCAGCUGCUCCGGGUCCCGCCGGGUCCCACAGUGCGCGCUGCAGCCCUUAGGGAGCUCGGCGCACUCUCCUGGGCGCGCAGUUGCUCUGUUACUGUCCCGGGGAGCCCGAGGGCAUCCCCGCCCUCCUGGGUCCUGCUCCAACUCCCUGCGGGCCCCUUUCCGCCCGGGAAGGUCGGUGCAGCUCCUGCUUCUUCAGGACGGGGCUCUCCUGUCCUGGGGACACUCGCCCGGCCUCAGCCCGGCUCCUCGCGGGGCCCCUCCCCCUUGGAGGCCUUUGUUCCUUUAUUUCUUUUUCCCCGUCUUCCUACCUUGAUAGAUGCGCGAACUCUUCUCACUGUAGCAUUCCAGCUGGUCUCUCUUUAAAUCUCAGGCCGAAUUCAUAGAUUUUCAGGAUAAUUUGAAGGUUUUCUAGGUAGUUUGGUGGAGACAGGUGAUUUGGAGACCCUACUCUUCCGCCAUCUUGCUCCUCCCCCCAAAAACAACACACUUGAUUAAUAUAGCUACCAAUAUAGCUGCCAUAUACUUUUUCAUUUUAUUUAUUUAUUUAUUUAUUUAUUUAUUUAUUUAUUUAUUUAUUAUUUGAGAGAGAGAGAGGGAGAGAGAGGCAGAGACACAGAUAGAGGGAG
rnacentral:lncRNA from 12 species